UGGAAAUGGAGCAUGCCUUGAAAGAAAGAAAGGAAGAAAAUCUUUUAAUUACAUUUAAAAUUAGCCAGAACUUUGUGCUCGUCCCAACGAGAGUCCUAGGAGGAUUGGAACGUUUCUGCUGAACGGGCUGCCCCGGCCAUGGCUGAUGUAAUCCUUCAAAACCACACCUGGAGGUCUGGACUGGGGAGGAGGCUGUGGGGACAUUCCCGGGCUAGAUGCUGCUGGCCCCAGGUCAUUCUUCUGGGCAGGAAUCAGGAAAGCUGUCCCUGAGGGGAGGGAAGCAAUGAGAAGGGGAGACAUUUCCAAGGAACGGAACCAGAUGUACAAGCUGCGGCGAAGUGCGUGGGGCUCAGCAGUGGGUGGACACCGAAAGCGAGAAACGGACGGCUGCAUUUCGGGUUAACUCUUUCCUCUCUCAGUAGGUGGAGGCCUGGCCUGAUGCUGGCCUGGCUCUCAGAAGACAUUAAAGCCUUCUUCCCAAUGGCCAGAUAUGAUGUGCCACGAAGAACUCAUGGAAAUAAUUCUCUAUGAGGAAAUAUUGGCCCUUCCCCUGCAUUAGCUGCCCUCUGGAGGUCCAGGCAGGGCUCUCAACCUCGGCUGCAUUCCCCAGGGGAUUCUAAUUAUUAUUAUCUUUUUAAUGUUCACUUUGCCCAAGCUGUAUUCCAGACCAAAUGACCAGCAUCUUGGGGGUGGAACCCAGGAACCCCUAUUUUUUAAAACUCCCCAGAGGAUGUGCAGUCAAGUCAGAAAACCAGUGCCAACAAGACCCAAGCUUGAGAAUCGUGUGGGCAGCUUGUGAAAUGCAGAUUCUGACCUGAGACGUUCCUGCCUUUCUGAAGAAGCUCUCAGAUGAUGCCCACGCUGCUCGCUGGACCACCCUUUGAGUAGAGAUCUGAAAUGCUUAGCCUCUCAAUGCCCCUCAACACUUAGCAAUUGAACCAUGUGAACCCUAGAGAUGACGGGAAGGAACCAACCAUGUUGCUUUUCUACUGCGUGCCUGACACUGUAAGAGAUUUGUAGAAUGCCAUCUCUUUUAAGUUCUGAAGUGGCCCUGCAAAGUGGGUAUUAUUAUGCCCAUUUUACAGAUGAAGAAGUAUAGAAAGGUUAAGGAAUUUAUUCAAAGUCUUGUGAGAACAGUUGGAGACUGAACAUGGUAAAUGCUAGAAGGCUUGAGAAAUAACUAUUGCAGCAAUUCUUGCCAACCCUCCUUUUUGCUGAUGAGGUCAUUGAAAGGCGUUCUCAAAAAUAUCUGUAGAAUGAAUAAACAAAUGAAUUAAAGAAAAUCAAGAAUUAAACUUGAGAAGACAUCACCCUUCCUGGACCCUUGGUCUGAGGGAAGACUGACUGGUAAAAAGCUGACAUCCAGGUGUCUCACCUCUUUGAAAGGGUGAAUGGAUUUUCCAGAGUCACAUGGCUUCUGCUGAAGUGAGGGUUCCCUGGAGAGCUUUGGCAGAUGGCAAGGCAAGUUUACCCACAUGCCUUUGCUCCUGGCAGCAAUCAUAUACCAUGAACUUCAGUGCCAAGGUAGGCAAGUGCCUGCUGCAGUGCUCUUGAAGUCUUG
ensembl:lncRNA